rnacentral:lncRNA from 1 species
CUGAGCUUGCUGCCCAGGGAGUGACCGAAGACUGCCGGGAGCAGCAGUGACACUUCAGGCCUGCCUCUGUGGACCACUCCAAAGCCCCUGGCGGCUGGGCAGGAAGGUGCGCCUUUGUUGAGAGGCAAGAGUGUUUGUUGGGUUUGUGUAGCCCACUGGGGUUGCACCUCCCUAAAGUUUGGGCUUCUUCUUGUCUCUUUGCCACCAUCCUGUCUGAGCUGGGGUCUGCCUGGAAAAGGGGCGCCCUCAGUUUGUACUUGUGGGAGCUUGGACUGGAGCUACCUCAGUGCACAGGUGGGCCCGGCCUGGUGACCUGGAAGGGAUCAGCAGGGACUACCACACUCCCAGCUUCUGGUCAGCUUCUCGUACCUCAGAUUUUAUUUGCAAUAAAGACUCUAUAGCCAAC